rfam:Loxodonta africana unplaced genomic scaffold scaffold_235, whole genome shotgun sequence.
GGCCCUUUCAGCUCAGUGGUUAAAGCACUUGGCUGCUAACCAAAAUGUGGGUGGUUUGAACCCACCAGCCGCUC